rnacentral:rRNA from 1 species
UGCCCUACGGGAGGCAGCAGUGGGGAAUAUUGGGCAAUGGGCGCAAGCCUGACCCAGCAACGCCGCGUGAAGGAAGAAGGCCCUCGGGUUGAAAACUUUUUUUAUUCGGGGCGAAACAAAUGACGGUACCGAAUGAAUAAGCCACGGCUAACUACGUGCCAGCAGCCGCGGUAAUACGUAGGUGGCAAGCGUUAUCCGGAUUUGCUGGGUGUAAAGGGCGUGUAGGCGGGAGAGCAAGUCAGACG